rnacentral:sRNA from 3 species
GUGGUAACUGGUAGAGAACGUGAAGGAUAACGUUGCUUUAGCAACGGCCCGAAGGGCGAGGCGAAGCCGAGUCAUCCUGCACGACCCACCA